rnacentral:rRNA from 1 species
UGGAGCAUGUGGUUUAAUUCGAAGAUACACGAAGAACCUUACCUGGCCUUGACAUGGUAGGAACCUUAAGAGAUUAGGGGGUGCUAGCUUGCUAGAACCUACACACAGGUGCUGCACGGCUGUCGUCAGCUCGUGUCGUGAGAUGUUGGGUUAAGUCCCGCAACGAGCGCAACCCUCGUCCUUAGUUGCUAACAGUUCGGCUGAGCACUCUAGGGAGACUGCCUUCGCAAGGAGGAGGAAGGUGAGGACGACGUCAAGUCAUCAUGGCCCUUACGGCCAGGGCUACACACGUGCUACAAUGGGGCGUACAGAGAGCUGCGAUACCGCGAGGUGGAGCCAAUCUCUUAAAGCGUCUCUCAGUUCGGAUUGUUCUCUGCAACUCGAGAACAUGAAGCUGGAAUCACUAGUAAUCGCAGAUCAGCUAUGCUGCGGUGAAUACGUUCCCGGGUCUU